CCAAAACCUGGGUCAUAGAACUGCAGAUUUCCCCCCAAGUCUGUCACUCUUGACGUGGGGGCCGUGGGGGUAGGGCCUGCCCGGCCGGGCCUAGGUUGAAUGAAUGAGUCAGCACGCGGCUGAGUAGACAGGAUCCCUCUCCCCUCUCCGGCCGAGCCCUCGGUUACACAAUCCCUCACCUUCCCCUCCAAUCCCAGGCUGAACAUUCUCCAAUUCAGAGCCCAAAGCAGACGGCUGCCCCAGCCACAGCGGCCCUCAGGCCUCCCAGCCGGCCUUCUCCAGGCGUGGCCCCUGUCACUUACACGGCUCAUCCACCUGCUGCUGAGACAAAAGCAUUUUGCAACAGAGGCUGGAGUGGAAUUGCUGCAGACAGCAGAGAGAGCAACUGGCUCACGUAAGUCGGGCGUUGGGGAAGAAGGAAGUGGGCUGAGAAGGCAGCAGUGCUGUGUGGUUGCAGAUCCGACCUGGAUGUCCGUGUAGCAGCGCAUGUCUGAGCGCCUUUGGCUGUGGAGAGGCAUCGUUUCAGUACUUCUCCCAACCGACACAAGCCACAUGCUAUGCGGCAUGGGCUGUCUCAGGUUCCCCCACCAAGAAGAGGAAUCCGUGUCUGCAUCCCUUGCCUCUGGACCCCAAGAUGCACUGGAAGCGACAGUGUGUAAGCUCCCCUGGGCUGAAAGAGGCCAACAGACUUCAGUCCUCUCCCCCCUCUCUGCUGAAGCAUGAAAGCAGCACAAAAGAGAGAAGUCGUCUCAGCCCGAGUUCUGAGGCCAGUCCAGAUCAGCCAAACCUGCCCCAGAUCAGCCACUGCCCGCAGCCCAAAGGGGUAUCCAAGUAGCUGUUGUCUGAAAACAUUGCACUAUUGGCAUGUUUGUUAU